GCGGAUGUGGUGAAAUUGGUAAACACAAGGGACUUAAAAUCCCUCGGAGAAAUCCUUGCCGGUUCAAGUCCGGCCAUCCGCACCA
rnacentral:tRNA from 1 species